rnacentral:lncRNA from 1 species
ACGCGCCGCAGGUCAGGACUAGGCUGGAGCCGAGCCGCGGGGCUCGCGGAGGCGGCGGCGGCGGCGGCGGCUACUGCUGGGGGAGCCUGGCCAGGGCCCGCGGCGGAGGCCGUGGCUAGUACUGGGAAGGUGGCGGGGAGGGACGCGGGAGGAAGAUGGCGACGUCGGGGGCGAACGGGCCCGGCUCUGCCACGGCCUCGGCUUCCAAUCCGCGCAAGUUUAGUGAGAAGAUCGCGUUGCAGAAGCAGCGUCAGGCCGAGGAGACGGCGGCCUUCGAGGAGGUGAUGAUGGACAUCGGCUCCACCCGGGUGAGGGGCCGCGCCGGGGAGCGGGAGCGAAGCGGAGCAGUUACGGAGCGGAGAGGCGGGGCAGGGGCGGGAGCCGCAGCCCUGGAGGCGGAACAGGGUUGAGGCGACGGCGGCGGGCGCCGCCGUCUGGGAGGCUCGGGUUGAGGGCCGAGGGGACUGGAAGACGAAUUUUGCUCGGGAGAUGGAAAUACAGGAGAGGUGGGGGAUGUGGGUGCGACUGGGGGCCGAGUACGUGAGUCGGAGAUGGGCCGAGAGGGAAGAUGGGCCCCCGAAGGCCAGGGGAGGUGGGGAGUCCUUGUGCGUGCCGGGAGGAGUCCCCUUGGGGACUCCACUGAAGCAUCCCAGAUCUUGGGUUAUGGAUUUUAGGAUGGACUGCUUGUCCCUAAUUUGGUUCUUCUGAGGUUGUGCUCUCUAGACUGGUCUCUGCCCUGUUGUGCCGCUCUCAGCACUUUGGUAUCUACGGGAAAGGGCCCCUUGAGUGGUUUGAACGAGCAGUGUUGGGUAUAGUGGGGCAGGAAGUCCCCUCCUGCGUCCCGUCCCUUUGCUUCCUUUUUCAAGUACUUCUUGUGGUUUCCUGACGUGAGUGAAGGUGAGGUCCACUGCUCACAGGCUGGUGCUCCAUCUUUUGCCUUGGCCGCCUUGAAGGAAAAGUAGAGUUUUGAAUCCCAAAACUGGGUAACUGAUUUUUUUCUUUUUAGGUUGCAUAGAACCCGAUGAUUUGCUGGACUUUCUAGGGAGAUGCUGCCCUGUGGGUCAGUUUCUGGAGUGCCUCGGAGGGUCCCCCAUGAGGAGGGUAUAUUCAUUCCUAGGAAAUUCUUAGAAUUUUCAGGUCUCUGACAAGCUGCCUCUGAAGCCCCUCUGGCCUUGGUUUCUUGCUGCCCAAGGCUGGAUGUCCAAGGGCCACUGUCAAAAGAGUUUGCCCAGCUGGUAUGCAGUGCUAAUUUAGGGACACAUUAUUCUCAAAUAAUAGGUGAGAGGAUUUUGCUGUGAUCCCUCAUGGCAAAGAACUGGAAGAAAUUUAAAGGGAGAUGGUGGACAUAAGUGUCGCAUUUCAACGCUCCUUGUGAUUGCAUCUAUCAAUGAUUAUGUCUCUUGAUUAUAUUUUUGUGUGCCUCUUCCUUGAUUCUGUUAGUCUCUUUUGUGUUUUUCCCCUCUGAGUCUCUAGGGACCAUGUGCCCUAGAUUAUGAGAGCCAAAACAGAAAAAGAUAGGUGGGGAGGCAAGUGUGUGUGUGUGUGUGUGUGUGUGUGUUUGUGUACACAUACACAGGCAUAUGCUUGCAUAACCCACUCUAACUACUAUGAGGAUUAUGCUCUAACGCUUGACUGCUCUCUAGGAACUUUUGAUCAUAGCGGUACAGAGAGAAGAUGGGAGAGGGGCUCAUCCUCAGCUGAGAGCUCUGCCCUCUGGACCAGGAUUCUAGCAGAGGCAUGGUGUGAUCUUAGGGCUUGUAUGUGCAAACAAGGCUGUGAGAAACUCAAAGCUGGGAUUCCUAUUUGUGGUGCUUUGGUUCAUCAAAAGGACCUUCUACCUGCCUUUUCUCUCCUGAUUCUUUUCUGCUAUGUAAAAAAGUCUAGUGGACAUUCAUGGCCAGGGCCUGGGGACCUAAAAAUCUUGAACUAGCAAUGAGAGAUCUGGGGCUCAGCUUGUUACCUGGCCAGUUGGGAGGGCUCAUUUGAAUCAGAUAUGGCCAUAUUUGUUCUACUGAGAGGCUAGGGUUGCCAUAUUUAUUAACAGUGAUUUUGAAGGACCCAGAGGUAAGCACAGUGCCCACCAAACUCAGUGGGUUGAGCUCCUAGAACAGGAAUUCAGGUUUGAUGUACGCUUACAUGGCAACAGUGUGAUCCUGGAAGCUCUUGGAAUUUACCAUCCUCAGCUGUUCUCCUCCCCAUGGCCUUGCUCUGGGUCUCUUUGUCUGGUGGUAGUGACUGAGGACACAAAUCUGCAGGCAGGCUAAAUCCAUGUCAAGCUGAGGGAUAUGGUGUAUCACUUCUGUCCCAGACUUAUUUCUCUGAAAUAGGGGUAAGGGCCAGGGAGGUGGCUCUGGCCCAGGCUGGAGUGGGCUCCUGAGCCCCCUCCUACCUCCAUUCACUAGGCUUCCCUGCCAAUUAAGGGGCCUUAGGAUCCAGUGGAAGUAUUCUGCUUUUCUAGUGGGCAAAGCCAUUAUUUCCUGGAUCUUCUAAUUUGGGAGGUACAGGCUGUGAUUUGGCUGGGCAAGUGGCAUAGCCUAGUAGCCUGCGUUCUCUUUGAGUGUGAAGGAAAAAGGAUGGCAAUAAUGGAUCUAUGACAUCCACCUGUGACCUUGCCCUUCUAAUUAGUCCUGGGUAUAUCUGGAAAUGAAACCAGAAGUGCCUAAUAGGCACCCAUCUCUGUGACUAGUCCCUAGUAACCCCUAGGGACUCUGCUUAGACUGAUGCUGACCGAGCUAGGCAGCGGCGAUCUCACUGAUGAGGGUAGGCUACAGAAGGGCUGGGGGGUUGUUUGCACUAGGUCUCUGUGGGCCUUUCUCCUAGCACUGGCUUUUCUUUUUUUUUUUUCCUUUUUCCCUAGCAGAUACCUUAAAAGCUGCAGCAGCAUAUCCUGGUGACAGGGAUGGCAAGGAUGGCCAAAGGGAACAGUGCUCAGGACUCUCCCUGACAUUCCCAUUUGUCCUUCAUGUCUCAGUUACAGGCCCAAAAACUGCGACUGGCAUACACAAGAAGCUCCCAUUAUGGUGGUUCUCUGCCCAAUGUUAACCAGAUUGGCUGUGGCCUGGCCGAGUUCCAGGUGAGUGGACAUCAGCCAGGGAGGAGUGGAGGUUCCUCUGCUUCCUCUGCUGAUUACCUGUCCCUUUUGGCAGAGCCCCCUCCACUCACCUUUGGAUUCAUCUCGGAAUACUCGGCACCAUGGGCUGGUGGAACGGGUGCAGCGCGACCCCCGAAGAAUGGUGUCCCCACUCCGCCGAUAUCCCCGCCACAUAUCCUUAAUAGAGGACAGGGAGUCUGGGAGGUAGUGGGAAGGGGUUCUUCAGGGAGGCAUGGUAGGAAGGACUUACUUUCGCAGUACUGAGGGUUCCCUGCCACUCAGCUACACCCCAGCCCUUUUUAUUUUUUGAGAUAGGGUCUUACAAAGUCACUCGUGCUUACCUGGAACUUGUGAUCCUCCUGCCUCAGCCUUCUGAGUUGUGGGGUUACAGGCACGAGCCAUCACGUCCAUAGGAAGAGAUGUUAAAUGUUGCCUUGUUCCGUCCUUUUCCAGGAGCUUACCUUUACCCUGACUCAAUGAAAAGUGACCACAGUCAAUGUGUCAGGAGUUGCUGCUCCUCUCUGGCUGGUCUCAGCUGUCCUCACUUUGGCUCAGUCUGCUGCACAAGUAGUGGGCUCCCUAUGCUCUGACUAAGGAAGGCUUGAUCCCUUCGUUUCUGUUGUUUCAUUUCAGUCUCAGAGACCCAUAUACUCAUCUCCCCUAAGUCCUGCUCAGACAGUCUCCUAGAUUGUUCUCGCUCCAUUAUGCCUGAUACUUUUUUUUUUUUUAAACACAGUACUGAGGAUUGAACCCAGGGCCUUGCCAAUGCCAGGCAGGGACUCUGCUGCUGAGCUACAUACCCAGCUCCAAGCUCUGUUCUUUUUUUAAUUUCUUUCCAGUACGGGGGAUUAAACUCAGGGCCUUGUGCAUGCUAAGCAAGCACUUUACCAUUGAGCCACAUCCCCAGUCUCUUUUCAUUCUUUGACCCCAUUGUUGCCACUUGAAGAGAAAGAGAAAGAGAAAGGUUAUAUGUGUUUUGAAAUAGCUAUCUAGCCAGGCAUAGUGGCACACACCUGUAAUCCCAGCAGCUUGGGAGGCUGAAGCAGGAGGGUCGCAAGUUCAAAGCCAGCCUCAGCAACUUAGCAAGGCUCUAAGCAACUCAGUGAGACCCUAUCUCAAAAUAAAAAGGGUUGGGGGCCUGGGAUUGUGGCUCAGUGGUAGUGCACUUGCCUAGCACGCGUGAGGCACUGGGUCCCAUCCUCAGCACCACAUACAAAAAUAAAGUUAUUAAAAAACAACAAAAGGGCUGGGGAUGUGGCUCAGUGGUAAAGUGCUCUCGUACCAAAAAGAAAGAAAUAACUAUCUACUGUCUCCAUUGGUCGACUUUUUUGAGACAGGGUCUUGCUAAAGUUGCUGAGGCUAUUCUCAUACUUGGAGAUCUCCUGCUGCUCUGUUUACUCACUCUCCAUCUUCUUCCUUAACUGUUGCUGUUCACAUUGACAGUUCUCCCUACAGUCCCGCCUACUUAUCUCCUCCUCCAGAGAACAGCUGGCGAAGGUGAGUCCAGGUCAGGCAGUCCGCUGCCCACUCUGUCACUUUCUGAAGGAGCUGGGGCUUGGUUGGGAUACUGGACUAGGGUUUCAUCAGUACCUCCUCCUAUAUUGGCUUAGCUGGGAGGGUGGGGGCAGCAGGAGUAGGUGAUCAGAGUCCAGUCUUGGCGUGUUGACAUGUGUAGCCAAAGCAGGACCAAUAGAACUGGAGCCAAGCUGGGUGUGUGUGAGAGUGUGUGUGUGUGUGUGUGUGUGUGUGUAUGGGGGAGGGGAGAAAGGCAGGGUUACAGGUGAAAAUGGCUGCCUUCUGUCAAGGGUGGGUGCCAGAUACAGUGCAGGGAAACUAUUAGAUCUCUGAACCCCUCCACUCUCCAUCUUAGCCCUAGCACUCACGUCCAAAAGAGGCUCUGAGCUCCAAAUUUCCUGUUCAGCUUGUCCUGGCAGAGAGGAGUGGAGAAGUUUCCAGAUCUCUUAGAUUGACUGGGGGAGGGGAUUCAUGGGUCACAGGCAUCAGAAGAACCAGAAAGAGCAAAGAAUUAUUCUGGUGCCCGUCCUCUCUUUCCAUCGGGGCUGCCUCACAUUCCCAGCCCCCAUGUCUGCUUUCUUGUCACUGCCAGCAUUCUUCCUCCUCCUCACUCUGUUUUUCUACCCCAGGAUGAUGCCCUGGAGCAAUUUCCCUG